rnacentral:rRNA from 1 species
UGGGGAAUUUUGGACAAUGGGGGCAACCCUGAUCCAGCCAUCCCGCGUGUGCGAUGAAGGCCUUCGGGUUGUAAAGCACUUUUGGCAGGGAAGAAAUAGGUCUGGCUAAUAUCUAGACUGAAUGACGGUACCUGCAGAAUAAGCACCGGCUACUACGUGCCAGCAGCCGCGGUAAUACGUAGGGUGCAAGCGUUAAUCGGAAUUACUGGGCGUAAAGCGUGCGCAGGCGGUUCGGAAAGAAGGAUGUGAAAUCCCAGGGCUUAACCUUGGAAUGGCAUUCUUAACUACCGGGCUAGAGUAUGUCAGAGGGGGGUAGAAUUCCACGUGUAGCAGUGAAAUGCGUAGAGAUGUGGAGGAAUACCGAUGGCGAAGGCAGCCCCCUGGGAUAAUACUGACGCUCAUGCACGAAAGCGUGGGGAGCAAAACAGGAUUAGAUACCCUGGUAGUCCACGCCCUAAACGAUGUCAACUAGCUGUUGGGGGCCUUCGGGCCUUAGUAGCGCAGCUAACGCGUGAAGUUGACCGCCUGGGGAGUACGGUCGCAA